rnacentral:rRNA from 1 species
UACGGAGGGGGCUAGCGUUGUUCGGAAUUACUGGGCGUAAAGCGCGCGUAGGCGGACCUGCAAGUCGGGGGUGAAAGCCCGAGGCUCAACCUCGGAACUGCCUUCGAUACUGCGGGUCUCGAGUCCGGGAGAGGUGAGUGGGAAUUCCUAGUGUAGAGGUGAAAUUCGUAGAUAUUAGGAAGAACACCAGUGGCGAAGGCGGCUCACUGGCCCGGUACUGACGCUGGAGGU